UACGUAGGGGGCGAGCGUUGUCCGGAUUUAUUGGGCGUAAAGAGCUCGUAGGCGGUUUGGCAAGUCAGAUGUGAAAUCUCCAGGCUCAACCUGGAGGGGUCAUUCGAGACUGCUAUGACUAGAGUUCGGUAGAGGAGUGUGGAAUUCCUGGUGGAGCGGUGAAAUGCGCAGAUAUCAGGAGGAACACCCGUAGCGAAGGCGGCACUCUGGGCCGAUACUGACGCUGAGGAGCGAAAGCGUGGGGAGCGAACAGG
rnacentral:rRNA from 1 species